rnacentral:rRNA from 1 species
CAACAACGAAGAGUUUGAUCCUGGCUCAGGAUGAACGCUAGCGACAGGCUUAACACAUGCAAGUCGAGGGGCAGCAUGAUUUGUAGCAAUACAGAUUGAUGGCGACCGGCGCACGGGUGAGUAACGCGUAUGCAACUUACCUAUCAGAGGGGGAUAGCCCGGCGAAAGUCGGAUUAAUACCCCAUAAAACAGGGGUCCCGCAUGGGAAUAUUUGUUAAAGAUUCAUCGCUGAUAGAUAGGCAUGCGUUCCAUUAGGCAGUUGGCGGGGUAACGGCCCACCAAACCGACGAUGGAUAGGGGUUCUGAGAGGAAGGUCCCCCACAUUGGUACUGAGACACGGACCAAACUCCUACGGGAGGCAGCAGUGAGGAAUAUUGGUCAAUGGCCGAGAGGCUGAACCAGCCAAGUCGCGUGAAGGAAGAAGGAUCUAUGGUUUGUAAACUUCUUUUAUAGGGGAAUAAAGUGGAGGACGUGUCCUUUUUUGUAUGUACCCUAUGAAUAAGCAUCGGCUAACUCCGUGCCAGCAGCCGCGGUAAUACGGAGGAUGCGAGCGUUAUCCGGAUUUAUUGGGUUUAAAGGGUGCGUAGGUGGUGAUUUAAGUCAGCGGUGAAAGUUUGUGGCUCAACCAUAAAAUUGCCGUUGAAACUGGGUUACUUGAG